UCUUUCCUUGUCAUGGGGUGAAGGACAGCUCAAUGAACGUAUAGUGAGAGCUGUCUUGCCAACACCAUAAUCGACACAUAAGCAUCACCUGGCUUUCGAAGUCAGGCAAUGGUGCAAUUUUUGGAAAC